GUUCGCUGGAACACGACCUUCCAAAAUUGUUCCCCCUCCGGACAGUCUUCUGUGCCCAACCAGCUCAAAUCCUGACACUUUUGGUUUUUCUCCGGUACCGGGAACCGAACUCAGGACCUUGCGCUUGCCAGGCAGGCGCUUUGCCGCUGAGCUAAAUCCCCAGCCCCUAAAUCCUGACACUUUUGGAUUCAACUUUUCCAUGAAGGCGGGCACAGACUUCUGGGAAGGGGCGGAGCUUAUAAACACGGGAAGACUGAAUUCCCUUUUACCUCACACUGAGGUAUCUUCUCCGCGCUCCUGCUGCAUGAUCCUGCUUGCCUCUCACUGGGACUCUGAAUCCUCUGUUCAAGGAUGAUGUUAAAUGUCUGCAUUGCAGAUAUCACCUAAGUUCAUUCAAGAAACAUGAAAGCACUGAAACUGCAUAGAAAAACUCCUGUGCAGCAAGGAGCACCAACCUCUCCAAAGAAGCGCUUUCAAUCUCAAGCUUAUAAAAUCAAGCCUUAAUUUUUCUUGGUUACUGUAUUUGAAAUUAAGGUACAAAACAACCAGGUUAACGGUGCCUUAGUUGUAUUUGCUGGCAUAGCCAUACUUUUUCUAUGUGGUAAUAACUAAACCAAAAGAUAAUACAUAUUUUUCCAUUUUUGUUGUUG
rnacentral:lncRNA from 1 species